rnacentral:rRNA from 1 species
CACGUAGUUAGCCGGAGCUUCCUCCCAGGUUACCGUCAUUAUCUUCGCCUAGGACAGAGGUUUACAAUCCGAAAACCUUCUUCCCUCACGCGGCGUUGCUGCAUCAGGGUUUCCCCCAUUGUGCAAUAUCCCCCACUGCUGCCUCCCGUAGGAGUCUGGGCCGUGUCUCAGUCCCAAUGUGGCCGUUCAACCUCUCAGUCCGGCUACCGAUCGUCGCCUUGGUGGGCCGUUACCCCUCCAACUAGCUAAUCGGACGCGAGUCCAUCUUUCUGCGGAUUGCUCCUUUGAUAUCGAUACCAUGCGAUUUCAAUAUUUAUGCGGUAUUAGCUCCGGUUUCCCGGUGUUAUCCCCCUCAAAAAGGCAGGUUGCUCACGCGUUACUCACCCGUCCGCCACUAUCCAGCAUUCAAGCAAGCUCAAAUGCUAAAUCGUUCGACUUGCAUGUGUUAGGCACGCCGCAGCGUUCGUCCUGACGCAGGACUCAAAACCUAUCGUUAGACGACUG